GACGAACGCUGGCGGCGUGCCUAAUACAUGCAAGUCGAACGCAGUGGGUACGGGUGAGGAACACGUGGGUAACCUCCCCAUCAGAGGGGAAAACACUUGGAAACAGGUGCUAAACCUAUACUGUUGGAUGGACCCGCGGUGCAUUAGCUAGUUGGUGAGGUAACGGCUCACCAAGUCCACGAUGCAUAGCCGACCUGAGAGGGGGAUCGGCCACACUGGGACUGAGACACGGCCCAGACUCCUACGGGAGGCAGCAGUAGGGAAUCGUCGGCAAGGGACGAAAGUCUGACCGAGCAACGCCGCGUGAGUGAAGAAGGCUUUCGGAGCGUAAAACUCUGUUGUUAGAGAAGCGGUAUCUAACCAGAAAGCCACGGCUAACUACGUGCCAGCAGCCGCGGUAAUUC
rnacentral:rRNA from 1 species